ensembl:snRNA U6 U6 spliceosomal RNA
GUGUUUACUUUGGCAGCACAUAUACUAAAAAUUGGAAUGAUACAGAGAAAAGUAGCAUGGCCCCCGUGUAAGGAUAACACACAAAUUAGUGAAGAAUAUCAUAUUUUA